GAUGAACGCUAGCUACAGGCUUAACACAUGCAAGUCGAGGGGAAACGGCAUUGAGUGCUUGCACCGAAUGGACGUCGACCGGCGCACGGGUGAGUAACGCGUAUCCAACCUUCCCAUUACUGUGGGAUAACCUGCCGAAAGGCAGACUAAUACCGCAUAGUCUUCGUUGACGGCAUCAGAUAUGAAGUAAAGAUUUAUCGGUAAUGGAUGGGGAUGCGUCUGAUUAGCUUGUUGGCGGGGUAACGGCCCACCAAGGCGACGAUCAGUAGGGGUUCUGAGAGGAAGGUCCCCCACAUUGGAACUGAGACACGGUCCAAACUCCUACGGGAGGCAGCAGUGAGGAAUAUUGGUCAAUGGACGGAAGUCUGAACCAGCCAAGUAGCGUGCAGGAUGACGGCCCUAUGGGUUGUAAACUGCUUUUGUAUGGGGAUAAAGUUAGGGACGUGUCCCUAUUUGCAGGUACCAUACGAAUAAGGACCGGCUAAUUCCGUGCCAGCAGCCGCGGUAAUACGGAAGGUCCAGGCGUUAUCCGGAUUUAUUGGGUUUAAAGGGAGCGUAGGCUGGAGAUUAAGUGUGUUGUGAAAUGUAGACGCUCAACGUCUGAAUUGCAGCGCAUACUGGUUUCCUUGAGUACGCACAACGUUGGCGGAAUUCGUCGUGUAGCGGUGAAAUGCUUAGAUAUGACGAAGAACUCCGAUUGCGAAGGCAGCUGACGGGAGCGCAACUGACGCUUAAGCUCGAAGGUGCGGGUAUCGAACAGG
rnacentral:rRNA from 1 species